rnacentral:rRNA from 1 species
AAGGCGAACCGCGAAUGGCUCAUUAAAUCAGCUAUGAUUCAUUGGAUCUGUACCCACACUUACUUGGAUAACUGUGGUAAUUCUAGAGCUAAUACAUGCACCACGUCUCUGACCGCAAGGGAAGAGCGCUUUUAUUAGUUCAAAACCGGUCGGGCCUCGGUCCGUCACCCCACCGUGUUGAAUCUGAAUAACUUGUCGCUGAGCGCACGGUCUCCGCACCGGCGCCGCCUCUUUCAAGUGUCUGCCUUAUCAGCUUUCGAUUGUAGGUUAUACGCCUACAAUGGCUAUAACGGGUAACGGGGAAUCAGGGUUCGAUUCCGGAGAGGGAGCCUGAGAAACGGCUACCACAUCUAAGGAAGGCAGCAGGCACGCAAAUUACCCACUCCCGGCACGGGGAGGUAGUGACGAAAAAUAACGAUGCGAGACUCAUCCGAGGCCUCGCAAUCGGAAUGAGUACACUUUAAAUCCUUUAACGAGGAUCUAUUGGAGGGCAAGUCUGGUGCCAGCAGCCGCGGUAAUUCCAGCUCCAAUAGCGUAUAUUAAAGUUGUUGCGGUUAAAAAGCUCGUAGUUGGAUUUCAGUUCUGGACUGACGGUUCACCGCCCGGUGCACACUGUCACGCUCCGAACAGCCACAAAAGCCCGCUGGCUCGCACGGGGUGCUCUUCAUCGAGUGUCCCGCGUGGCCGGCAGAGUUUACUUUGAAAAAAUUAGAGUGCUCAAAGCAGGCUACAUUUACGGCCUGAAUGCCUAUGCAUGGCAAUAAUGGUAUAGGACCCUCGGUUUCUAUUUUUGUCGGUUUUCUGAACCCGGAGGUAAUGGACUUAAUUAAGGA